CCUACGGGUGGCUGCAGUGGGGAAUAUUGGACAAUGGGGGGAACCCUGAUCCAGCCAUGCCGCGUGUAUGAAGAAGGCCCUCGGGUUGUAAAGCACUUUCAGUGAGGAAGAACGCCUGGUGGUUAAUACCCAUCAGGAAAGACAUCACUCACAGAAGAAGCACCGGCUAACUCCGUGCCAGCAGCCGCGGUAAUACGGAGGGUGCGAGCGUUAAUCGGAAUUACUGGGCGUAAAGCGCGCGUAGGUGGCUUGAUAAGCCGGUUGUGAAAGCCCCGGGCUCAACCUGGGAACGGCAUCCGGAACUGUCAAGCUAGAGUGCAGGAGAGGAAGGUAGAAUUCCCGGUGUAGCGGUGAAAUGCGUAGAGAUCGGGAGGAAUACCAGUGGCGAAGGCGGCCUUCUGGACUGACACUGACACUGAGGUGCGAAAGCGUGGGUAGCAAACAGGAUUAGAUACCCUUGUAGUC
rnacentral:rRNA from 1 species